rnacentral:rRNA from 1 species
GACGAACGCUGGCGGCGUGCUUAACACAUGCAAGUCGAACGGAAAGGCCCUGCUUUUGUGGGGUGCUCGAGUGGCGAACGGGUGAGUAACACGUGAGUAACCUGCCCUUGACUUUGGGAUAACUUCAGGAAACUGGGGCUAAUACCGGAUAGGAGCUCCUGCUGCAUGGUGGGGGUUGGAAAGUUUCGGCGGUUGGGGAUGGACUCGCGGCUUAUCAGCUUGUUGGUGGGGUAGUGGCUUACCAAGGCUUUGACGGGUAGCCGGCCUGAGAGGGUGACCGGCCACAUGGGGACUGAGAUACGGCCCAGACGCCUACGGGAGGCAGCAGUGGGAAUAUUGCACAAUGGGCGGAAGCCUGAUGCAGCAACGCCGCGUGCGGGAUGACGGCCUUCGGGUUGUAAACCGCUUUCGCCUGUGACGAAGCGUGAGUGACGGUAAUGGGUAAAGAAGCACCGGCUAACUACGUG